rnacentral:rRNA from 1 species
AACGAACGCUGGCGGCAUGCCUAACACAUGCAAGUCGAACGAGACCUUCGGGUCUAGUGGCGCACGGGUGCGUAACGCGUGGGAACCUGCCCUUAGGUUCGGAAUAACUCCCCGAAAGGGGUGCUAAUACCGGAUAAUGUCUUCGGACCAAAGAUUUAUCGCCUUUGGAUGGGCCCGCGUUGGAUUAGCUAGUUGGUAGGGUAAAAGCCUACCAAGGCGACGAUCCAUAGCUGGUCUGAUAGGAUGAUCAGCCACACUGGGACUGAGACACGGCCCAGACGCCUACGGGAGGCAGCAGUGGGGGAUAGUGGACAAUGGGCGAAAGCCUGAUCCAGCAAUGCCGCGUGAGUUAUGAAGGCCUUAGGGUUGUAAAGCUCUUUUACCCGGGAUGAUAAUGACAGUACCGGGAGAAUAAGCGCCGGCUAACUCCGUG